CAAGGUGGGAGCUGGGCAGGGAGCUUUUCCCUCUUGUGAAAGUCUUCUGUCCGGAUUUGGGUUGUUUGGUGCUGUGCUUGGGCUGAUGGUGACCUCGUGGAGUUCAUCAUCUCCUUUGGGACCUGGCUGCAGCCCUCAGCAUCUCCCAGCACUGCCCUUGCUUUCCAGAACGGCACCUACGAGCCCUGCAGGAUUAUUGAUUCAACACGCUGAUUCUGUCUUGUGUGAACCCAUCUCCUGGAUGCCAGCACCAGAGGUCUCUUUUCUACCCUGAAGUCAACUGCCUGAAGAACAGUGAGGCUAUAAACCAUCUGUAACCCCACGACAGACCUCCAUGGCUUGUAACAGGACCUCUCCAUACAACCAUUCACAUUUAGCAGACUUGUGGUCGCGGUGGUUUUUGCCCAUAGGACACACGAAGCG